rnacentral:lncRNA from 1 species
UAUAAUUCUCCAUUAAUUUCCCAGAUUAGGGCUUCAAUUUAUCAGAAUCUGAAACUAGGGUUUUCAGAUCAAGUAUUAGGGUUUCAGAUUUGGAAUUAGGGUUUUGUAAUCAAUUUGUUAAGAUUAACCCUAAUUAAUCUUAUAGUUAUUUACGCUUAUGCCAUUAAGUUCCCGAUUUAGGGUUUCAUGCACCGAAUUAGGAUUUCGGAUUCCCGGAACUGAAACUAGGGUUUCCAGAACCGAUUUCUAGGGUUUCUUAUCAAACGUUAGGGUUUUCUAACUGAACGUUGACAUUCUUAAUAUAUUCUUAGGGUUUGUUACAGAUAUAAUUUAUCUGGUCAACCCUUGACCCUUAACCACAUUCUAUACACAUACAUAACCAUAUUCACAGAACUUAAUCACAAAAAUCCUUAAUCCUGAAUAAUUCACCUAUAAGCCUUCACGAAAUUUUGAAAUCCUCAAAAUUCC